rnacentral:rRNA from 1 species
GAUGAACGCUAGCGGCAGGCUUAAUACAUGCAAGUCGAGGGGCAGCAGGACUGUAGCCCUACAGUUGCUGGCGACCGGCAAACGGGUGCGGAACACGUACGCAGCCUACCCAAAACUGGGGGAUAGCCCGGGGAAACCCGGAUUAAUACCUCGUAACCUUUUUAAGUGGCAUCACUUGAUAAGUAUAGCUCCGGCGGUUUUGGAUGGGCGUGCGCCUGAUUAGGUAGUUGGUGCGGGUAACGGCCCACCAAGCCUGCGAUCAGUAACUGGUGUGAGAGCACGACCAGUCACACGGGCACUGAGACACGGGCCCGACUCCUACGGGAGGCAGCAGUAAGGAAUAGUGGUCAAUGGACGCAAGUCUGAACCAGCCAUGCCGCGUGAAGGAUGAAGGUCCUCUGGAUUGUAAACUUCUUUUAUGGGGGACGAAACCCGGAUAUUCUUAUCCGAUUGACGGUACCUCAGGAAUAAGCACCGGCUAACUCCGUG